GUGGGGAAUUUUGGACAAUGGGGGCAACCCUGAUCCAGCCAUGCCGCGUGUGGGAAGAAGGCCUUCGGGUUGUAAACUGCUUUUGUACGGAACGAAACGGUCCUGGUUAAUACCUGGGGCUAAUGACGGUACCGUAAGAAUAAGCACCGGCUAACUACGUGCCAGCAGCCGCGGUAAUACGUAGGGUGCAAGCGUUAAUCGGAAUUACUGGGCGUAAAGCGUGCGCAGGCGGUUAUAUAAGACAGAUGUGAAAUCCCCGGGCUCAACCUGGGAACUGCAUGUGUGACUGUAUAGCUAGAGUACGGUAGAGGGGGAUGGAAUUCCGCGUGUAGCAGUGAAAUGCGUAGAUAUGCGGAGGAACACCGAUGGCGAAGGCAAUCCCCUGGACCUGUACUGACGCUCAUGCACGAAAGCGUGGGGAGCAAACAGGAUUAGAAACCCCUGUAGUCC
rnacentral:rRNA from 1 species